CUCCUCCCCAGCCGCCAGGAAGCACCGGCGCCUGGCCAACGGCGCGCCUCCCUUUUCACUUCUUUGUCUUCUGUUUUCGUUCUGUCACCCGCGCAGAACUUCAGCCGCCAGGGAACUCUGGUUCCUGGCCGACCGAGCCCUUCAAUUGGGCUGUGCGCCACAGAGCCCGAGCUGACCUUUUGCUGUCUCCUUUUUUUCGAAAUCUGUUCCGAUUUUUGUUCGUGAUCUGAUCGGUUGUAGUGAUUUCUGCCGAGCUCUCAGGGAUAAAAUCCCUUUCAUUAUUUUACUGUUUUUUUAAAAUAACGAACUCGGUUCAUUAGGGCUUCUGGAACUCGAUACGAGUUGGGGAUUCUGUCCUAACUCCUACUCCGAGAUCCUCUUUCUGUUUGGAACUACAGGAGAAAACGACCCCCUUCCUCCAAUCGUAUAGAGCUCUUGAUAUUAUUAAUUUUUUUAUUUAUACCACCGCACAGAUCGAACCUCGGAUUUGUUGUACCCGAGCUCUAUUAUUUUUCUGCGAAUGAAAUUUCUGUACCUUUGACUGACAACGAAUACAUG
rnacentral:lncRNA from 1 species